UUGGAAAAAAGAAAAAAAAAAAAACAAUUAUCAGUGAUGGAAACAACAUUUUCAUCUUCUGCAAUUUCCCUGGGCUUUCUGUCCCUACCCCAAGUCCACCUUCUCAGGAUUCAGACGCGACUCCUCCCUCAGCUGACAAAAGGCUGCGCGAGAGCCAUUAACAGAGACGUCUCUGGCCUUCGCUAUUAGCCCACAAUUUGCUGUGCUGGAUUUGCCAGUAAUUUAUUUGCCCUGCCAAAUUACUAGAGUUCACAUAGUUGGCAGUAGUUUGGAGGGAACGGAUCUCCCAGCAACACCUGACAGGAAAACAAAUAGGAACCAGAAACCCUUUGGUCCCGGUGGUGCUCCAUGUCCCCUGCUUUGCCAAAUCUCUCUGCAAGCCAGUUAUUCUUUGAAAAGGGAGAGAGUGGAUGAAGUCCAGAAAGAGUCACACUCACAUCAUCCCAGACAUUCUAAGAAAUGUGACUGGGCCAGUAUAAGCCCUAUUGAAGCUUUUGCAUAAACUCCCGGUUCAAUCUCCCCCUUGGCAUGCAAAACAGCUCUGAUUCCAACACUGUGAAUAGAAGCUGCCCACUGACUGUCCUCAGAGACCAUCUCUCACACCCCAGGAAACUCUAUUGUUGAAUCAAAAACUCAUUCGAAUAAUGAGUAACUUCAGGCCUGGCCAUUUGUAGGGGGAGAGGCCAAAAAAAAAAAAAAACAAAAAAAAAGAUCCAAUGCUAAUAUAGAAGAAUGCUAGGCAAUGGAAAAAAAAAUCACAGUCACUUGCCUCCACAAAGCAGGUAAAAAACUGUUGUGUAGUAGUUUUGUGGUCUUUGGAAGCCCUUCAGAGUUUUCUUAUUAAAAAUAGUAAAAGAUGAGUAUACAAGACGGAGGGCAGAAGCAGCGGUUUUCGUGCUGGGGUCCCUCUCUGCGAUUUCAGAGGGACCACAAAGAGCCCAGUCAUUCUACACUUGGCAGGUCCUCAGUGGGAAAGUAGCCCUGUCUCUCCUCCAGCCUCUGGACAUGCAGGUUGCUUGCGUGCUAUUUGUGUUUUGAUUGACAAGUGUAUGCUCUGUCUAGAUACGCAGAAACGCAUCUCUUGAAAAGAUGCUUCAAAAGAGCAGCUGUCUGGAAAGAUGAAGCAAUGCCAGGGUGGUUCAAGAAGCAAUCCAAAUACCAGUCACGGAAGUAAACAUGAACAGAUGAGGCCAACACUGCAAUAAGGAGACUCACUCUAGGAUCCCAUGGUGCACUGGGGACAAUGAGAUACAUUAUUUCUUUUUCUUUGUUUUUCAUUAAGAGAUUAUCCAAUCAAGAAUUAUUGUCUUUUAAGGAAUGAUCUUGGUUUAUAGCAUUUGUGCCUGUCAUACUGUUUUCAAAUUUAAGAGAAAAAAAAAUUACUUUACUUUCCAUUCUCUCAAACACUUUAGCAUGGUGUUCAGGGUCCUUAAUGACCUUGUGCCACAUUCUCUCGCCUUCCACCCACGGAAAGUCUCUGUCGCCCAUACAGCCUGUAUAGCAAAGUCCGUGUCCACAAUUCCUUAAACAUGCAUAAACCUUCACUUCACUUAUUCCUUUUUUUUUUCCUUUCUUGCAACCCCACUGGAUCAAAUCAUACUCCUUGUUUCAUUGUUCAAGGCCUAGCCAAAUUAAUCUCUUCUUUGGGGAGACCCAAAUGCCUUCCUAAGUAGAAUGUAUUCCUGAAAGUGUGAUCUUUGGCAGACUGUAAUAGUCGCACUACAGAUUUGCCCUCAUAUGUAAAAGUCCAUUGUUUAUAGGUCUCUCUUACUCUACUACGACGUUUCGGCGGACUGAUCUGUAUCUUAUUCACAUACUCCCUACCCACUCAUUAAAUGUUUGCUGAAUGAAUGUGUGAACAAAAGAGAGACAGAAUCUAUCUCUUUGUUCUCUCACAUUUUCACUGUCUUUUGUUUUAGAGAAAAGAAAAAUCUACAGUCCAGAGAAAUUCAGUCUUUCCCUGCAUUGCCAAAGCUGCAAACACAGAAUUAAUGGAACAGCCUCGCUGGCUCCAUGGACAUACGUAGUGUUAGGACAGCUAUUGUGUGUUUCCACCACUGACAAGAAUCAGAGAGAAGAAUGAUCAAAAGAAGGAUGAUCCCCCCACAGAUGUGCAAGAGUAAGACACCUGACUUCAACACAGGCAAUAUAAUCAUUCCCUGAGAGUUUGAAUUUGAGGCCAAAACAAACAAACUUGAGGGAAGUCUCUCUUCCUCUAAUGGUUGAAAUAUAGAGUAUAAAACUUCCCCACGUGAAGGAACUGAUCAGCAGUGAGAAAGAAAGAAGCUGAGAUGCAACACGAAGCAGAGGUUAGUGAAGACAGAAAGCAGAGCCCCAGCCUCCAGAGAGAAGAGACCGAAAGAAGGAUGAUCCCCCCCGCAGAUGUGCAAGUGACUAAUUCGGUCAAGAAGAAAACCAGGCCUCCCUCACAGGGUUGAGAGAAGAUAGCACCAGCCAGCCUUGUAGCCUGAGAAGCUGUCUCCUCACCAGAUAUUCUGAAUUAUGUUUUCCUGACUCUACAAGUUUUUUCUUCAUGAAGAGUUCCCUGUUAGAGACGUUGCUGCACAUCUACCUGGUGAAGGCAUAAUUUUAUCACUCUUAUGAUUAAUCACUUUAUAGGAUGAAUUGACCUCUUCAGUUUUUGUAAAAAUGACACAUUUAUAUGUUUUAUCACAGUAAAAAAAAAAAAAAAAUCAAAAUAACAUGAUGUACUGAAAAAUCAUGAAGAGAUGCCUCAAAUCUAUUUUUAAAAUUCUGGGAAACCAGAUAUUUGGAGAAAUUAUUUAAAUCACAGUGAAAAGACACAUCAUUUACUGGUUAAAACUUGGCAUGCUUUAAUAAUGCAACAGGGUUUAUAGGUCCUGAGACCCUUCCACUAAUCUUUCUAAUGGUAUAAACUAUGUUCAGGGCUGCCAUUUCCCAAAGGACUGAGGACUAAGCAGAGAAGAGCCAGUCUCUAAUCAUGGUCUAAAGACUUCAAAGAGGGUCAUCUUCUGGCUUCUUUCUCUCUGCUCUGGUUCCCAGCAACCAGCCGUGCUGUAGACUUUUCACUAUCUCUGAGGGAGGGACACCCAGUCGAUCACAUUCAUGCUCAGUUAAUUUGGUUUUUUUUUUCUUUCUUUCUUUUUUGUAGAAUCCAAUGGCUAUUAGCCCUUAGGGGAAACCAUACAGCAGCAAAAGCCACAAAGGCAAGAUAGAAGGCUUUGCUAUGUACCCUAUAGACAGCACUACUUUUCUCAGAUUCCAACCCUCAUCCUGAUUUCACCUUGAUCCUUUGUAAAACUGUGCCUCGAUUUUCACUUUGUGCUUUCAGGAUAAAAGGGUCUUAGGCCUAACUCAGUUUACCAAUACUCCAGCACCCAUUCUAAGUAUGUGCUAUCCUGGUGCCUGUAGCAUGGCACUCCUGGAGGUCAGACUAUGUUUUCUCACCUUUUUAUACCUGGGACUGGCAUACUGGAGGCCUCAGUGAGUUUAUAAAAGAAGGGAGAAGGGAAAGGAGGGAGGCAGAGGACUGCAUCCAGACAUAUAGAAUAUGUGAACGUUAUUCAGUAAAUUUUUGAAACAUCUUUGUUCAUGUACUACGUAUUUAAUUUUUUCACCCAAGAAAAGAACAUAAGAAAGUGCCAAAGAUCACAAACUACAAUUUGAUACCAGUGAAAUAAAGACCAGUCAUAACAAUAACAAAGUGGGAUUUACACCUUAAAAUGCUUUAUUCUCACCCUGACAUUCUAAUUUUUGUAGCAUGUCUUGAAAAUAAUAGGCAGUGAUCCCAUUAAUAUUUUUCAACUGCAAAAAUCUGAAGAUUUGAGUAUGAUAAUGAGCAUGAUAAGAAACAGUAUGUUUAUUCAGUCUUGAAGGAUCUCUCCACAACUUAUUUACAGCAAAGGGGAAAAUAGUACCUUCACAGUGGCAGACACCACCUUAGCAAAGUGAGCAAAGCUCACGUCACUAGCAGGUACAUGUAUCAACACGACAUACUCCCUGAUAAGAUGCACCGAGUUGGGAGGCUUGAAGUCAGGAGUUCAAAACCAGCCUGGCCAAUAGAGUGAAACCCUGUCUCUAGUAAAAAUACAAAAGUUAACGGGGCGUGGUGGCACGUGCCUGUAGUUCCAGCUACUCAGGAUGCUGAGGCAGAAGAAUCACUUGGAUCUGGGAGGUUGAGGUUAUGUGAGCCGAGAUCGCACCACAGCACUCCAGUCUGGGCAACAAAGUGAGACUCCAUCUCAAAAAACAAAACAAAACAAAGAUGCACCGAGUAGGGCACAGUAUCACUAUUGUCAUAUUCUUGCUGAAAACGCAUAAUCAAUUUGAUCAUGAGGAAAACACAGACAAACCCAAACAGAGGGAAAGUUUACAAAAUAACUAACUCUUAUUUUUCACAAGUGUCAUAAAAGUUCAAGAAAGACUGAGAAAUUGUCCCAGAAUGGGAGAGACUAAGAGGUUGGGGCAACUAAAUGAAAUGUGUGAUCCUUCAGAAAUUUUUUAAUAAGGUCUAUAGAUUAGUUAAUAGUAUCACAUCAUGUUAAUUUCUUGGUUUUUCUCAUUAUAUAAAUAUUAUGUAUCACGUUAACGUUUGGGAGGCUGGGUGAAAGGUAUAUUGGAAUUCUUUGUACUAUUCUAUUACUUUGUUGUCUAUCUGAAAUUAUUUUAAACAAAUAGUUAAAUUUUUUAAAUUAAACAAUUCUAAACAUGUAGAUAUUAGAUUUCAGUGCACAUCUGUGAGCACUGAAUCUGUGGGCAUAUUCUUGAGAAAAAGCAAAUAAAGAUUGUAAAGUUGCUGGUG